UGUAGAUUAUGCAUUAAUAAGUGAAAGUCUCCUGUCCUCAGUGAAAUACUUUAAAACUGAUGAUUUUACUUACUUGUCAGAUCAUGUACAGAUUCAGUUAACAUUAAAUUGUAAUAUAAAACAAACUUUUGACCUUAAAAGUCAUAUAGAAAAAAAAUGGAAAUAUUUGAAAAGAUAUAAAUGGACUGAAAAUUCACAUAACUUGCUACUUAAAGCUCUUAUGUCAGAGCAUAUAAAAAAUGAUAUAAUGAAGUUUGAAUUAAAUGAGUAUCAGGAAAAUCAAAAAGGGGUUGAUGGUGCAACUGAAAAUUUAACUAACAUUUUUGAAAAUAUCUCUGAUAUUACUUGUAAAAUUACAAAAAGAAUUAAAAGUAAGAGAAAAAAAUAUAGACAGGCAUGGUCAGACAAUUGUGUAUAUGAGACAAAAAAAGAAAUAAACAGGAUUGGAAAUAAACUUAAAAAAUGUCCAAAUAAUCAACUUAAACAGAAAUAUUUUGAAUUGUUAAAAAGUUUUAAAAAAAUGGUAAAAUUUAAAAAAGCACAAUACAGAGAGAAAAUAUUUAACUCAUUAACAGAUAGUUUUGAUAAGAAACCUAAAGAUUAUUGGGAAAUACUUAAAGGAAUGAAAAACAAAAAAAAUACUGGUAAUGAAGUGCCAGAAAUUUUAAAAGAUGAAGAAAUAAUUACGAAGCAUAUUCAGGACCAAGGAAAACCCACAUUUGUAAAUAUAAAAUGGAAAGAGGAAAUAGAAAAACAACUUGUUAAUAUUGAAAAAAACAUAAUAUCUAAUAGAGAAACAGAUGCUCCAAUAAAAUACUCUGAAAUAAAAAAUGUUAUUAGUAAGCUAAAAAAAGAAAAAGUGCCUGGGCCAGAUACCAUUAUAAAUGAAAUAGUAAAAUUUAGUAAAAAUGUGUCUAUCAAAAGUAUUGUUAAACUGUUUAACCUUAUUUUGAAUACAGGUAUUUACCCAUCAAAAUGGAAAUACUCAUACUUAAUUUUAUUGCAUAAAUCAGGAGUAAAAACUGAUCCUAAUAAUUACAGGGGAAUAUCUCUGAUAAGUUGCUUACCAAAAUUGUUUAAUGCUGUAUUAAAUGAAAGAUUGAUUAAACUGAUGGAAAAUACUAUAAGUAAUACUCAAUUUGGCUUUAGAAAAAAUCACAGAACCUCUGAUAGUAUAUUUGUGCUUAAGUCUUUAAUAAACAAAUACUUACACAAAAAUAAAAAUAAAAUAUAUGCCUGCUUUGUAGAUUUAAAAAAGGCUUUUGAUUCUGUCUGGAGAAAAGCUUUACUUUAUAAACUGUAUAAGGCAGGAGCAGGGAAAAAAAUAUUUAAUAUUAUUAAAGGACAGUAUGAGGAAACAAAAUCUGCCUUCAAGCAUCAAGAGUGGCAUUCAGAAUAUUUUGAAAUCACACAAGGGGUUAAACAAGGGGAUUCAUUGAGUCCUACUUUAUUUAAUUUAUUUAUUAAUGAUUUAGAUGCAGAGUUUUCAAAUGAAAAUAGCUGUCCAUUAGAACUAAUUGAUACUAAAGUAGGAUCUUUACAAUUUGCUGAUGACCUUUUAAUAUUAUCUGAAAGUAAAGAAGGCCUACAAAAUAGUCUGAACAACUUAGAAAAGUAUUGUGAAAAAUGGCAAUUAACUUUAAAUAUUAAUAAAACUAAAACAAUGAUUCUGCAGCAAAAUAAUAAAAAAGUGGAAACAUCUUUAUCAAAAUAUAAAAAUGAAAGUUUGUCAAAUGUCUCUGAGUAUUCAUUUCUUGGAAUUCUUGUGAAAUCAAAUGGAAACUUAUUGCAUAGCUCUGAAGAGCUUGUAAAUAAAGCAAGGAAAGUGAUGUUUGCCAUUAAAACUUAUACUGGUUCCUUAAAUAAUCUGCCAGUUAAAGUAGCUUGCAGUCUUUUUGAUUCUAUAGUUAAACCAAUAGCCACUUAUAAUUCAGAAAUAACUUAUAUGGAUACUUAUGUUACAAAAUUUAGAGCAGAAAAACGUGCAAAUAUUUCCAAAACAAAUAUAGACCCCCUUAAUUUUACUGAUAAAUCAAGUUUAGAAAAAUUACAUUUGUCUUUCUGUAAAUAUAUCCUCGGAACAAGAAAAUCUUCAUCAAACAUAGCUGUGAGAACAGAGCUAGGGAGAUACCCACUAGAGAUGCAUAUAAAAACUCAAAGUAUACUUUACUUAUCAAGAUUACUAAAUUCUGAAAUUAAUCCAUUAUUAUACGAAUCCUUUUUACUUUCUAAAAGUUUAGAUAAUUCAGGUUGCUAUACCUGGUUUACAUAUGUUAAAAAUAUUUUGAAAGAGGUAAACAUGGACGCAUCCAUUCUUGAGGGAAACAAAAGAAAAAAUUACUCAAAGUUGUUAAAAAAAACCUUAAAACAUCAAUUCUUAAAUUUCUACACAAAUAUAUUUGAACAAAAAUUUGAAAAAAUAGAUAAAAAAAGUAAAUUGUAUUUAUAUAAAAGUUUAAAGCAAAAUUUAGAAAUGGAAAACUACUUAAACUGUAAAUCUUUUGAAAAGAGAAGGAACAUAACAAAAAUGAGAAUUAGCGAUCAUAAUUUAAUGAUAGAAAAAGGAAGACAUUUAAAAAUACCUAGAGAAAAAAGACUUUGCACAUCCUGUAAUACAAUGGAGGAUGAAGCCCAUUUUAUUUUAUACUGCAAAAAAAUUGCUAAACUAAGAGAUAACUUUAUAGGAAAUGUAAUUAAACAUAUGCCAGAUUUUAUGUCCUGGCAAGAAAAUGAAAAAAAUAAAUAUCUUCUUUGUCCAUCAACCUCAAAAGAAGUAGAAAGCUUAGGGUCCUAUUUUAAACAGGCAUUAGAACUGAGGACAGGGGACUCUUGAUUUAUUUAUAAAAUAUAUUUAUAUAUCAUAUAGAUAGAUUGUUUUGCUUUUUUGCUUUUUUUGUUUUCAUGGUUUUGUUUGUUAAAUGUAUUUUGUGUAUGUUUAUAUUAUUUGUCACAAACUUAUUGUUCAGAGUUUAUAUGACAAUAAAUAUUUGAAUUUGAAUUU
rnacentral:lncRNA from 1 species